UACGAAGGGUGCUAGCGUUGCUCGGAAUCACUGGGCGUAAAGGGUGCGUAGGCGGGUCUUUAAGUCAGGGGUGAAAUCCUGGAGCUCAACUCCAGAACUGCCUUUGAUACUGAGGAUCUUGAGUUCGGGAGAGGUGAGUGGAACUGCGAGUGUAGAGGUGAAAUUCGUAGAUAUUCGCAAGAACACCAGCGGCGAAGGCGGCUCACUGGCCCGAUACUGACGCUGAGGCACGAAAGCGUGGGGAGCAAACAGG
rnacentral:rRNA from 1 species